CCCUUUAAAACGCGAAGUACGCAUGCGCCACAUCCUUUCUUCCCAAGAGCGGAAGGAGCUGGUCGCACAUUUUACACGUUGCAGUAUAACUUGAGGAGCCAGAUGAAGACUGCUGCAGCCAGUGGAAGGGAUCAUAACAUUUGCCACUGGAAAUGGGAGACAUGAGAAGUACAGAUGAUUAAAAAUGGUCUUAGGAUUACCACUAGAAAAAGGGUGCCCUGAGAAGUGCAGAUGAAGACUGGUCCAGGGAUUGCCACUGGAAAAGGGUGACAUGAGAGGAGCAGAUGAAUAAUAACUGGAUCAAGGAUUGCCACUUAUGAAACAGUGACCUGAGAAUUGCAGAUGAAUGAAGAGUGGUAACUUUUAUUUUUGGUUCUGUAGGUUUGCACAAAAUGCAAGAUCUGCUUGCGGGGUUCUUCCAACAUGAGGUCCCUCUGGUGCAAGGAGUCCAGGUCACGGAGGGCACAGGGAAACACUGCAUUGGGUGGAAAAACAAGCGCAGAGGCCCCUGCAUUCCCAAGACAAACUUUCUCAUUCCCGAACUCUGUAUUAUGCACUCACUGUAACGGGAGCUUGAUCCUAACUAUAAACUAGUAAUGAAGUGGUAAAUGGGUUAUGAUCAAAUGUACAUAUUGAAAGAAAUUCUCAUUGAAACUUU